rnacentral:rRNA from 1 species
UCUGGGACAAGCCCUGGAAACGGGGUCUAAUACCGGAUAACACUCUGUCCCUCAUGGGGCGGGGUUAAAAGCUCCGGCGGUGAAGGAUGAGCCCGCGGCCUAUCAGCUUGUUGGUGGGGUAAUGGCCUACCAAGGCGACGACGGGUAGCCGGCCUGAGAGGGCGACCGGCCACACUGGGACUGAGACACGGCCCAGACUCCUACGGGAGGCAGCAGUGGGGAAUAUUGCACAAUGGGCGAAAGCCUGAUGCAGCGACGCCGCGUGAGGGAUGACGGCCUUCGGGUUGUAAACCUCUUUCAGCAGGGAAGAAGCGAAAGUGACGGUACCUGCAGAAGAAGCGCCGGCUAACUACGUGCCAGCAGCCGCGGUAAUACGUAGGGCGCAAGCGUUGUCCGGAAUUAUUGGGCGUAAAGAGCUCGUAGGCGGCUUGUCACGUCGGAUGUGAAAGCUCGGGGCUUAACCCCGAGUCUGCAUUCGAUACGGGCUAGCUAGAGUGUGGUAGGGGAGAUCGGAAUUCCUGGUGUAGCGGUGAAAUGCGCAGAUAUCAGGAGGAACACCGGUGGCGAAGGCGGAUCUCUGGGCCAUUACUGACGCUGAGGAGCGAAAGCGUGGGGAGCGAACAGGAUUAGAUACCCUGGUAGUCCACGCCGUAAACGUUGGGAACUAGGUGUUGGCGACAUUCCACGUCGUCGGUGCCGCAGCUAACGCAUUAAGUUCCCCGCCUGG